GUUUAAUACCACAAGACACCUCAGUCUGGAUUGUUGCAUUACAGUACAAAUAAAAAACAGAAACAAAACCACAUCUGCAUCAUACGAGGCGCAGCUCCUGGAGGAAAACACUCACCUGCUCCAUCCCGUAUGACUGAACUGAGCUUGGAACUGAAGAGGACAUCCACGUGGUUCAAGAUGAAUUCCACAACCACUGACUGGAUGCGCACCUCCAUGAAGGCAGCGGUCCCACUGAAGCAGGCAGACUCUAUCUGCUUUGAUCUGAAGAGAAGGCAGAGGAAAUGAAACACAAACAGCCAGAAGAACACUUGAAGAUGUGCUCCUUUUGGCAGGUUUCACAGGAAGAAAAGAGCACAUUGGCUGGAGGAAAGGAAGAUCUUUCUCACCUGCUGAAAGCUGUGAUUUUGCUGGAGAACAGCUAUCUGUGUUCUAUAAAUAUGAAAACUCAUCUUGUAUAGAAAUGGGGGAAAAAAGCCAAAGAGUACCUCAGG